rnacentral:rRNA from 1 species
AGUGAACGCUGGCGGCAGGCCUAACACAUGCAAGUCGAACGAGUGGCGGACGGGUGAGGAAUACAUCGGAAUCUACUCUGUCGUGGGGGACAACGUAGGGAAACUUACGCUAACACCGCAUACGAUUGUAUGAGCCGAUGUCGGACUAGCUAGUUGGUGGGGUAAAGGCCCACCAAGGCGACGAACCGCAGCUGGUCUGAGAGGAUGAUCAGUCACACUGGAACUGAGACACGGUCCAGACUCCUACGGGAGGCAGCAGUGGGGAAUAUUGGACAAUGGGCGCAAGCCUGAUCCAGCCAUGCCGCGUGGGUGAAGAAGGCCUUCGGGUUGUAAAGCCCUUUUGUUGGGGAAGCGGUACCCAAAGAAUAAGCACCGGCUAACUUCGUGCCAGCCGCCGCGGUAAUAC